UUGAAAAAAAAUACCAAAUAUCUUUUGGGAAAUAUAGUUCAGACAUUUAAAAGGAAAAUUUCUUUUAUGUUUAUUUUGCAAUUUCCUCUAUUAUAUUAUCUCUAUAAACAAAUGGAAUGAAAAUUAGAAUCUCAAACAAAAGUUUAAUUUAUAAUUAUUCAUCUUUCUCCUCUAUCUGUUAUCCUUUUUAGUCAUUGUGUCAUCAUCUUGUGUAAAUUCUUUGAGUUUAUCAGUAAAUUUGUAGUUAUACCAUAAUGUUUUGUUGUAAAUGUCUUCUUACAUGAAGGGGCUAUGUUGAUGUGUCCAAGCAGAUGUCGCAAGGUGAUCCUGGAAGGUCUAAAUGCAGGCAACCGAUUUCCUUAUUGUUUCAUAUUGCAUGUAUUCAUUUUGAUAAUUCAUCAAAAGCAGCAGCAACGGUAUCAUCAUCAUCAUCUUCCUUUUCUUUUUUUUCUUCUUCUUCUUCAGACCCAAAACCAAACGGAUUGCAUGCACUAUCAUCCUUUAUAUCAUUUUGAUGAUGAAAACUGGGCGGUUCUGAGCCUCAUAUAUUGCUGUCUUUCGAGCAAUUGAUAUGCAUAAUAUUUACUUAAAUGAUUCUUAAUUGGAUUUGCUUUGCGAUAACUAAAUCUACAUCCUACCAUAAUUUUUUUUCAUGGCUAUGUUGAAAAUAGAUGAUUUUAUUCUUUACACUCAGACAUAUUAACUAAAAUGUGCUUAUACUUCUACCUCAAUAUGUUUCUCACCAUUAUACUUCUACUUUGGUUAUUUGGCCUAGUACAACCUUCAUUUUUAGGCUUUGUUGUGUUCUGAUUUAUUCUAAUGGUUUAUUUAAAAUUUUGGAGGUAAGAGAGAAUGGUUAGUUCAAGUCAAUUAUACAACUUGCUGAUAUAUUCUUAAAUUUAGGGUAAGAAAGCUUCUUUGCCUCCUUCGACGAUGUUACGUCGAAGUUGUUCCUGUCGGAUUGGAAGUCACGACAGGAGCUCGCCGCGAAGCUGGCUUGCUUAUCAGCAUAAUGAAGUCGGUGCAAUAUGACAGUUUUUGUAAGGUUGGAUUACGAUCAUGUACAGAUGCUUCGGUGGUGAUUUCAAAAGGAUUCAUGAGUAAUACAGUCUAUUUUCUAGGUGCUUCACAGUUAUUACCCUUCUUUAAUGGAGGAGACCAAUGUCGCAAGGUGAUCCUGGAAGGUCUAAAUGCAGGCAACCGAUUUCCUUGCUGUUUCAUACUGCUUGUAUUCAUUUUGAUAAUUCAUCAACAGCAGAUUUAACUUUGUAUUUUUUUGCCCAAGAGACAACGAGGAUGGAAAUCCCUGAGUUAUUGGAAACCCUAGAAGGUAUGAUUGCUUUAGAGCUGAAGGGGCGGAUUUGGGAUAUGUAUAUAAAAAUUUUAUGUAGUUGUUCUUUUGAACAGAAACGAUGCCAUUUUAGGGGCUGUUUGGUUACAAAUGUAUAUAAACAUAUAUCGAUUGAGCAGAUUGCACACGGUAUCGAUGCUUCGGCUUCUUGUGCUUGGAUUGAAGUAAAGUUUUGAAAGAGUCGCUCAAGGAAGUUUCUUCGCUUCCUUGGACGACGUUGUUCCUGUCGGAUGGGUUGUCACGACAGGUGCUCGCCUCGAAGGUUGCUCACGCUGGUUCGCUUAUCAGCAUAAUGAAGUCGGUGCAAUGUGGCAGUUUUUGUAAGGUUGAAUUACGAUCCUGUACAGGUAUGAAAUCAGAAAAAAAAAAAGAAAGAAAAUGGGAAAAUAUGAAGAUCAUAGUUGGAAACUUCGUGGAUGAGGGGAAAGCUUGGAAGAUUAUAGUUUGUACUUUCAAUGAGAAAGAAAGACAUUUUUAGAGUUUGUUUGGUUUCAAGUGGGAGUAGGUUUAAUGCCAUUGAGCGACAUGGAUGGCCUGUGGAUGGAAUCCUCUGCGGGCAACUGUUGUUGCUAUAAAUUUACAAUUUUAGUUGAUGCUUAGGUGAUGAUUUCAGAAGGCUGCAUGACCAAUACAGACUAUUUUCUAGGCUCUUAACAGUUUUUAUCCAGCAUGAAUUCAAAUUGAGUAGCGUGGCGAAGAGAUCUUGGAAGAUGUCGCAAGGUGAUCCUGGAAGGUCUAAAUGCAGGCAACCGAUUUCCUUGCUGUUUCAUACUGCAUGUAUUCAUUUUGAUAAUUCGUCAACAGCAGCAGCAACGCUGGUUUGCUUAUCAGCAUAAUGAAGUCGGUGCAAUAUGCCAGUUUUUGUAUGGUUGGAUUACAAUCCUGUACAGGUUAGGUGCUAUUAUGCUUCGGUGAUGAUUUCAGAAUGCUGCAUGACUAAUACAGCCUAUUUUCUAGGCGCUUGACAGUUAUUAUCCUUCUUUAAUGGAGGAACAGUAAGUUCUCUUAUUACAACACUUGCGUGCUCACUCUAUUUCAUCCCCUCUGCCAUUACAGGCUCUUGUCUGAGUUUACAGGUAAAUAUGUUGUUCAAUCGUAAUGUUCUGAGCGCAUGUCUUUUAACUUAAAGAGGCUAUGAUGAUACGCUCAAGUAGCCUGGCGAGGAGACCUUGGAAGGUCAAAAUAUUGGCAACCCAUUUUCCUCUGCCUUGAUUUUGUUUCUUCAACAAUGUGAUCCUGAAAGUUGAUUUCAACAUAUCACAAUAAUGCCCAAAGAAAGCUAUUGCGUACAUUCUAAUUCUUAGAUGAAUAUGAUGAUCUAAAUAGGGCAAGUCUGAGCCUAAUUUAUUCUCUUUGUUUGGCCUUUGAGCUAGCGGUUUAUAAGCAUUUUUAAUGAAGAUUUACUUUUUUAA